rfam:Camelus ferus unplaced genomic scaffold scaffold1011, whole genome shotgun sequence.
GGAAUGGUACGGCUCAGUGAUAGAGUGCGUGCUUAGCAUGCACAAGGUCCUAGGUUCAAUCCCCAGUACCUCCA